GGUAUAUAUGAGGAAUACAUUAUAUCUAAGAUAUUAUUUAUUGUAGAUAGAAAAGAAUGUACCCAGUAAUUGCAAAUAAAUGUUAUAUAGAAAAUUAGUAGAAAAAUAAUUUUAUGUUCAAAUUGAUAGAUGAAUUCUCUUUGUAUGUAAAGUGACGAUAUUAGUAAUAACCACUUCCCUACCUUGCCUAGAUACCACCGCUUCAAAUAUAUCAGAGCAUUCAUCAAAGAAUUUAGAAUUUUUAAUUAAAUGUGCAACUAAAUAAUAAUCCAAAUAAUCCUCCGCAUCAUAAUCAAAAGUAAGUAAAAAGUCCAAAAAAAUUGUUAAUUCUUCCAUUUAUGAAUUUAUAC
rnacentral:lncRNA from 1 species